rnacentral:lncRNA from 1 species
UGGCCAUGGCCUCCCUCUCUCUCUCUCUCUAUCGGGAUCUGGUAAUUCUGAUCUGAGAAGGAAGGAAGGUGGCGAUGGUGGAUGGGUGCCGAUGCCGAUCUGAAAUUCUGAAUCCGAUCUUUCUCUUCCGCUCGAGAGGGUAGAAGAAUGUAUCGUCGACGGAGAGAGAGAGUAGGAAAAUGGCGGAACUGACCCUCCCUCCUGGCCUUGCUUAGCAGGCCGCAGUUUCAGCCCUUUCCCUAUCUAUCGGCCUAAGUCACCCCAAAUCGAAGCCCAUUCAAACAAGGCCCAUUUGUGGGAGCUCACUGCUUUUUAACUGCUCGCGUG